CAGCACCUCAAGUGGUCAGGAUGAUUAUUGGGCCUAAAGCAUCCGUAGCCGGCUCCGUAAGUUUUCGGUUAAAUCUGUAUGCUCAACAUACAGGCUGCCGGGAAUACUGCAGAGCUAGGGAGUGGGAGAGGUAGACGGUACUCGGUAGGAAGGGGUAAAAUCCUUUGAUCUAUUGAUGACCACCUGUGGCGAAGGCGGUCUACCAGAACACGUCCGACGGUGAGGGAUGAAAGCUGGGGGAGCAAACCGGAUUAGAUACCCGAGUAGUCC
rnacentral:rRNA from 1 species